AUGGGAGUGGCUCACAAACAACGUAUAGUACGGAUUCCAAAUCCGCGUGUUGGGAGUUCGAAUCUCUCCACCCCUGCCA
rnacentral:tRNA from 1 species